AAAAUAAAAAUACAAAAUCGAGUCAAAGUCCUGCUUCAAUUAAAAAAUCAAACUUUUAAGCUUUUUGUGGAACCAAUUCUUCGAUCGAAUUUUUUAGAGUUGAUUUCAAUUUCGUUAUAAAGUCUGUGUUUGGAACAAGUUUCGAAAAUAAUUUCUUAUUUAGUAAAAUCAGGGGCAAAGUGGUUUCUUUUUCAAAAGAAAUAAGAGAGCGGCCGAUGGUGCUGGGGUCUAGCUAGCUGCGACGAUUUGUGACAGUGAAGGAUGUAAAAGUUUUCAAAUCAUUAAAUUCUAACAGUGGUUUCUUUGAUAAAUGUACUUGUUUUUGUUACAAGUUAUUUAAGAAGAAACUAUUUUUAAAUUACAACCCAAACUUAAAAAUCAAUUUUCAUAAAUCAUGCAAAUAUUGGAAUAAGCUCAUGUCUUCAGGUGCACCGACAAACAAAGCAUGCAGGGAGCAGAUUUCUUCUUAGCUAAAAACUACACACAUCAAGAACUGCUGCCGGCGAUUUUUAGCUGGCAACUCGCCAGCGUAGAAGUGGAAUAAGCUGUCUUGUUAUAAAUGCUGGAGCGCUAUCUUCAAAUUGAACAACCAGUUUCUAUACAGUAAUUUCCUGGAGUGACAAAAAAACAAAGGGAAGGUUUCUUCUUGCUAUAGCAACUGAAAAAAAGAAGAAAAAGAAUUCAAUUACUGAACAACGAGUAUGGACAAAAAUCACUCUACGCUCUGAUGGUAAGCAUCGUCAAUGUUAAUCCACCGAGUGUACCAACAUGGAUCAUAAGUCCAGGUCCCCUUUCGUUCCCGAUACUGAUCAGAUCAUCAAGAAGACUGCUUUCUAUCGUUGAUCUCACUUCAAAUCCAAUGAAGCCUAAGAUAAAUUUAUGUUACUAUAACCACAUAUGAAGAGAAAAGGACAUGAAGAGAAAAGGACAGUUCAAAUGGAGGGGGGAAAAGAGGGCAACCUUAAAUAAAUUCUCCAACUCGUAUACGCAGGGAAUAGAGAUUCUCAGGAAGAAAAAAACCAGAAGAAAGAAGAAAACGACAGCCAACAUCUAUCUUCGACCACCUUAACCCACUUAGCAAGGGACAAGCUUUCGUGAAACUGGUUUUUUACACUUCCAAUUGCGGGAUAGGUAGGGAGUUAGGCUGUUCGGUGGUAGCAGAGGGACCAUGUAACCUAACAGUAGGUGGCAGGUAUCGAAGAUUCAUGAUAAACGUUCUGCUCUUGUGUCCUUAAAGCUUACCUAAUGGUCCAAAGAGCACUUCCACAGGGUGUACUCACUGCUGACACUGGAAAUCUUGAGUUUUCUUUUUUUGUUUAAACAAAAAGGAUAACAGAGACUGCAUCUUUACUUGUAUGACGAUUCUGUGUUUAUAAUUUGAUUUAGAAAAUGCAUGUGUGACCAUUGCAUC